rnacentral:piRNA from 1 species
UAACGAAAUAGUGUGCAAUGGGCUGUUU